rnacentral:lncRNA from 1 species
GGGGGGCAAGUCCAACCAUGCCAGCACAUAUCAAGCCCCUAUGGAGCCUCGUCUACUAACAUCUGAUUGGCCAAAGCGGCAGAAAAUUUCUACUUGGACACACACAGAAAGGAGAUGGUGUGAAGAGUCACAGAAAGAAGAUGGCCACUACAGGAGGGAGGCACAGAACGCAGCCUUCCAGGCCCGCAGAGGAAAACCACCCUGCCUGCACCUCCGUCCUGGACUUCCGGCCUCCACAACGGCGGGAAGUAACUUUCUGUUGUUUAAGUCCCUUGUCCUGUGACUGUGUUAUGGCAACUCUAGCAAAUUAAUAUAUAUCUCCGUAUAUAAAACAUAUUCAUUCUCCUCCCCUGAGACUGGUCUUCGUGGCAUCAGCUCAAAGCCCAGGGUCGUGUCACCGACACCAGGUGCAGGUGGGGCCAUGUUAGGUGGAGCUCCUUGGGUACAGCUCCUUGCGGACCACUCCUCUCAACGGCAAGAUCUGUGCAUGAAAGAGACAAGAUCUCUGGGCCCCCCACACCCAGCAAACAACGGGGCGACAGGCUUAGGAUAAGCACCAGAGAUACUCCCACUCAAAGGGGGCAUGCGGGAGACACAGCAGUCACUGGUCCACGGCAGUCCUAACAUCCUCGGGCACCCGUUGCCAGUCCCUUAGUUAGCACUCAGUCUCACUGCCUGAGAACUUCCUCCCACAUCCGCUAGUGACCCCCAGUCGUGGGACCCCCCGAAGCUGCAGGAGGCUGGGAAAUGUGGCCUUGCUGGUGCUCUGGUGGGCAGGGGUCUGGUACCAGCCUUGUCUCUCCACACCCUUCCUCCGUGGCUCGAGCCUGGUCUCCUCCAUGCUCCUUGCACGAGUGCCCCCAUGGAUGGGAAGCUCCUGGAGCACCGAGACCGUGCCUCUCCUGUUCAUCACUGCCUGCCCUGUGUUCGGCACAGAAUAGGGAUUCCAGACGUAGUUACUGAAGAGAGGAAUGGGUCGGUCUCGCAUCUGUGCCCCCGGAGAGCUUUGUAAAUAUCUCUGAUGGGGCCUUGACGUCACUGGGUUUUACUCACUCUGUGCUGGUCCCUGCUCACCCUCAGACUCCUCUCUCUGCUCCACCAGGUUCUUCUCAGGCACCUCCUGCGUGGUAACACUGUGCUGGGCCCUGGGCAUGUCUUUGUGAAUAAAACAGACCUGUCUGCGCCCUCAGAGAGCUUGCGGUCCAGAGGAGAGACCAGCAAUGAGCAGAGAGUCACAAACCAUUGUGCAAAUAAAUUUAAAAUG